rnacentral:rRNA from 1 species
UGGGGAAUAUUGGACAAUGGGGGCAACCCUGAUCCAGCCAUGCCGCGUGUGUGAAGAAGGCCCUCGGGUUGUAAAGCACUUUCAGCGAGGAAGAACGCCUAGCGGUUAAUACCCGCUAGGAAAGACAUCACUCGCAGAAGAAGCACCGGCUAACUCCGUGCCAGCAGCCGCGGUAAUACGGAGGGUGCAAGCGUUAAUCGGAAUUACUGGGCGUAAAGCGCGCGUAGGUGGCUUGAUAAGCCGGUUGUGAAAGCCCCGGGCUCAACCUGGGAACGGCAUCCGGAACUGUCAAGCUAGAGUGCAGGAGAGGAAGGUAGAAUUCCCGGUGUAGCGGUGAAAUGCGUAGAGAUCGGGAGGAAUACCAGUGGCGAAGGCGGCCUUCUGGACUGACACUGACACUGAGGUGCGAAAGCGUGGGUAGCAAACAGGAUUAGAUACCCCCAGUCCCUGAGCGGGCUGGCAAGGCGCAU